GUUAUGUUGUCCUCGUUUUCCAUGUAUAAAACACUCUGAAGCACUCCGGAUAUGACGCAAAUGUAUGCCUGAUUUAGGUUCAACAAUGGUCGUCUAAGUACUAUUAUCAGCUGGUGUUCAAAAAAAACAGUCUACAUUAUUUAUCUAAGCUCUGGAAUGGCGUUGACAGCUUUCUAGUUGAGGACCAGCAGGUCUGGUAUUAAAAACACAUCUGAUCCACGGGUUCAUUCAGUUUCGCAAUUGCGGAACCCACCAACACCUGCAAUGCACGCUGCAAUCUGGUGCGAUAGUAAUAUUAGGCGUAGAGGCAU
rnacentral:sRNA from 1 species